rnacentral:rRNA from 1 species
UGGGGAAUAUUGCACAAUGGGGGAAACCCUGAUGCAGCGACGCCGCGUGAACGAAGAAGUUAUUCGUAUCGUAAAGUUCUGUCCUAUGGGAAGAUAAUGACAGUACCAUAGAAGAAAGCUCCGGCUAAAUACGUGCCAGCAGCCGCGGUAAUACGUAUGGAGCGAGCGUUGUCCGGAAUUAUUGGGCGUAAAGGGUACGCAGGCGGUUUAAUAAGUCGAAUGUUAAAGAUCGGGGCUCAACCCCGUAAAGCAUUGGAAACUGAUAAACUUGAGUAGUAGAGAGGAAAGUGGAAUUCCUAGUGUAGUGGUGAAAUACGUAGAUAUUAGGAGGAAUACCAGUAGCGAAGGCGACUUUCUGGACACAAACUGACGCUGAGGUACGAAAGCGUGGGGAGCAAACAGG